CUUAAACUUAAAAUCAGUUACGCUCAUAUCGACGGCGCUAAGCUAGAAGAGGAAUGUAAAAUCGCAGACAUAUGCCGUCACGACCAAGUUCCUAUAUGCGGAAUCGAUUCCUGCGGGGAAAUGAGGACAUUCAUCGAUACAUGUGACAUGCACGAGUUCAACUGCGACAGCAAAAAAGAUUUCGUACAAAAGCCGGUCCAUGAAUGCUGGGUGACGUGCAAGCGCG